UACGAGAGCCUCAAGCGUUAUCCGGAAUUAUUGGGCGUAAAGGGUGCGUAGGUUGUUUUGUUAGUCUUUUGUCAAAUCCCCGAGCUUAACUUGGGGCCUGCAAUGGAAACGGCAAAACUUGAAAGUGUGAGAGGCGUACGGAACUCAUGGUGUAGGGGUAAAAUCCGUUGAUAUCAUGGGGAACACCGAAAGCGAAAGCAGUACGCUGGCGCAUAUUUGACACUGAAGUACGAAAGCGUGGGUCGCGAAUGGGA
rnacentral:rRNA from 1 species